rnacentral:sRNA from 1 species
AAUUAGCCCUGAUUGCAGCAGAAAGCCCGCAAUCCCGGUUUUUCACCGGGAGAGGACUUGGAGCGUAAAGCAGGACUGAAG